rnacentral:rRNA from 1 species
CAUGCAUGUCUAAGUACACACGAAUUAAAAGUGAAACCGCAAAAGGCUCAUUAUAUCAGUUAUGGUUUAUUAGAUCGUUAACAGUUACUUGGAUAACUGUGGUAAUUCUAGAGCUAAUACAUGCAAUAUAAACACGGACCUUAUGGAACGUGUGCUUUUAUUAGGCUAAAACCAUGCGAUUUUUUCGAAAAUCGUUAUAAUGGUUGAACUCUAGAUAAUUUGCCGAUCGUAUGGUCUCGUACCGACGACAGAUCUUUCAAAUGUCUGCCCUAUCAACUAUUGAUGGUAGUAUCUAGGACUACCAUGGUUGCAACGGGUAACGGGGAAUCAGGGUUCGAUUCCGGAGAGGGAGCCUGAGAAACGGCUACCACAUCUAAGGAAGGCA